rnacentral:rRNA from 1 species
AUUGAACGCUGGCGGCAUGCUUUACACAUGCAAGUCGAACGGUAACAGGCCGCAAGGUGCUGACGAGUGGCGAACGGGUGAGUAAUGCAUCGGAACGUGCCCAGUCGUGGGGGAUAACGCAGCGAAAGCUGUGCUAAUACCGCAUACGAUCUAUGGAUGAAAGCGGGGGACCGUAAGGCCUCGCGCGAUUGGAGCGGCCGAUGUCAGACUAGGUAGUUGGUGGGGUAAAGGCCUACCAAGCCGACGAACUGUAGCUGGUCUGAGAGGAGGACCAGCCACACUGGGACUGAGACACGGCCCAGACUCCUAUGGGAGGCAGCAGUGGGGAAUUUUGGACAAUGGGCGCAAGCCUGGUCCAGCAAUGCCGCGUGCAGGAAGAAGACCUUCGGGUUGUAAACUGCUUUUGUACGGAACGAAAAGGCUCUGGAUAAUACCUGGGGCUCAUGACGGUACCGUAAGAAUAAGCACCGGCUAACUACGUGCCAGCCGCCGCGGUAACAC